AAUAUAUAUAUGAAGUAUAAAAUAUAAAUACAAAUACAAGAACGUGAACUAUAAUACAAAUACAAUUAUAUCAAUAAAUACAAAAAUAUAAAUGAUGAUAUGAAGUAUAACAUACAAAUACAAGUGUGAAUUAUAAAAUACAAAUACAAAUACAAAUGUGAACUAUAAAAUUCAAAUUCAAAUACAAACGCAAACAAUAAAAUA
rnacentral:lncRNA from 1 species